CCGACGGUGAGGGGCGAAAGCUGGGGGAGCAAACCGGAUUAGAUACCCGGGUAGUCCCAGCCGUAAACGAUGUGCGUUAGGUGUAUCGGUGACCACGAGUCACCGAGGUGCCGAAGAGAAAUCGUGAAACGUACCGCCUGGGAAGUACGGUCGCAAGGCUGAAACUUAAAGGAAUUGGCGGGGGAGCACCACAACAGGUGGAGCCUGCGGUUUAAUCGGACUCAACGCCGGGAAACUCACCAGAUAAGACAGCUGAAUGAUAGUCGGGCUGAAGACUCUACUUGACUAGCUGAGAGGAGGUGCAUGGCCGUCGUCAGUUCGUACUGUGAAGCAUCCUGUUAAGUCAGGCAACGAGCGAGACCCACGCCAACAGUUGCU
rnacentral:rRNA from 1 species